rnacentral:rRNA from 1 species
UCGGGAAUAUUGCGCAAUGGAGGAAACUCUGACGCAGUGACGUCGCGUAUAGGAAGAAGGUUUUCGGAUUGUAAACUAUUGUCGUUAGGGAAGAAAAAAGACAGUACCUAAGGAGGAAGCUCCGGCUAACUACGUGCCAGCAGCCGCGGUAAUACGUAGGGAGCAAGCGUUAUCCGGAAUUAUUGGGUGUAAAGGGUGCGUAGACGGGAAUAUAAGUUAGUUGUGAAAUCCCUCGGCUCAACUGAGGAACUGCAACUAAAACUAUAUUUCUUGAGUGCAGGAGAGGAAAGUGGAAUUCCUAGU